GACGAACGCUGGCGGCGUGCCUAAUACAUGCAAGUCGAGCGGAACUGGGGGAGCUUGCUCCUUCCAGUUUAGCGGCGGACGGGUGAGUAACACGUGGGCAACCUGCCCUGCAGAUCGGGAUAACUCCGGGAAACCGGUGCUAAUACCGAAUAGUUUGGCGCCUCUCCUGAGGCGCUACGGAAAGACGGUUUCGGCUGUCACUGCAGGAUGGGCCCGCGGCGCAUUAGCUAGUUGGGGGGGUAACGGCCCACCAAGGCGACGAUGCGUAGCCGACCUGAGAGGGUGACCGGCCACACGGGGACUGAGACACGGCCCAGACUCCUACGGGAGGCAGCAGUAGGGAAUCUUCCGCAAUGGACGCAAGUCUGACGGAGCAACGCCGCGUGAGUGACGAAGGUUUUCGGAUCGUAAAACUCUGUUGUGAGGGAAGAACACGUACCAACUAACUAUUGGUACCUUGACGGUACCUCGCCAGAAAGCCACGGCUAACUACGUGCCAGCAGCCGCCGUAA
rnacentral:rRNA from 1 species